UACGGAGGGGGCUAGCGUUGUUCGGAAUUACUGGGCGUAAAGCGCACGUAGGCGGCUUGGUAAGUUAGAGGUGAAAGCCUGGAGCUCAACUCCAGAAUUGCCUUUAAGACUGCCGAGCUAGCAGGUGAGAGAGGUGAGUGGAAUUCCGAGUGUAGAGGUGAAAUUCGUAGAUAUUCGGAAGAACACCAGUGGCGAAGGCGGCUCACUGGCCCGGUACUGACGCUAAGGCACGAAAGCGUGGGGAGCAAACAGG
rnacentral:rRNA from 1 species